GCAUAUCACCCAUUAGUUAGAUACGGGUUGUGUUGUUCUGGAUAUCACCCGUUAGUUAAAGAUAGGGUUGUUGGUCUCUGCAUAUCACCCGUUAGUUAGAGACAGGGUUGUUUGUCUCUGGCAUAUCACCCGUUAGUUAGAUACAGGGUUUUGCUCUGGAUAUCACCCGUAGUUAUAGACAGGUUGUUUGUCUCUGGCAUUCACCCGUUAGUCAUAGACAGGGUUGUUUGUCUCUGCAUAUCACCCGUUAGUUAUAGACAGGGUUGUUUGUCUCUGCUAUUCACCGUUAGUUAUAGACAGGUGUUUGUCU
rnacentral:lncRNA from 1 species